GAAAAAGUAUCACUGUCAACCGAACUCCGCUUAGAAUCGGUUUUUCGUUAGCAAUGGUUUAUCUUUGGUUACAGACAUACAUUAAGUUACCUGUAACAGUGGCUGCAUCUGUUUCCAUUAUCCUAGGAUGUCUUUUUAUUAUUGAGACCUUUCUGAUGAAAAACCGGCGAAACUGAUCAUUACUUACAGAUAUACAUUAAAUUAUCUAUAAUAUUGGCAGCGCCCAUCUUCAUUAUCCUGGGAUAGCUUUUUAGAUUCGGAGUCAAAUGAGGGAUUUAUUGGUUAUACUAUGGUGUGUGCUUUUUAAAUUUCGUGGGCAGCAAAGAAUAUAUUGGUUUUAUAUAGU